GGAAGUCCCACAGACAUGAUCCGUUUGCAUUCCAAACUGAGCGGAAAACCCGGAUCGUCCUUGUAAUGUUGUAGUAUUUUACAUGAUACAAACUCAGAGACUACAAAAGUCUGAAAUAGAGCCACAGCGCUCGAAACCGGAGGUGCUGAGCGCUGGUGCGCGAGCCUGCCUGCCGUUUCGUAGGUUAGCUCGCUUGUUCAGUAACCAGCUGCUUUGACCACGGGCUCAGUAACUAAUCUGAAGACAGCCAUCGAGGCAGCUCGCCGUAAUUUCAUUUUUACGAUCCUCCCGUAUUGAGUAAGCAUGGCAACUCGGCGACUGACCGAUGCCUUCUUAUUAAUGCGGAACAAUGCGAUCCAAAACCGGCAGAUUUUGGCUGAGCAAGUGAGUACAUACGACCCCCGUCGUACUCUGAAUACACGUAGCAAUGCUGCGGUGAGUCUAACGUUAAUUGUCCGAAUUGAUUGUUUUGGCGUUUGUGUGGUAAUUGAUCUAGCUAGAUAACCCUAGCUAGUGAUGUUUGUUGAUGUACACUGGCGCUGUCAGUCGCUCCAACAAACCUCAACUCUUUUGUUUGCUGUUUGAGCAGCUGGCUAUUCAUGACAUUGUUUACGUACUGCUGCAUUUCAGUUUACUGUAACACUUGAAUGGCAAUGAAACUACCCGGAUAUUCAUUGCAAAAUGUCUUGUGGUGACGACCACGGUCAUGCUAGUUUUGACUUUUACAUUAUUUACUGUCUUUUUGCAACGAGAGGCUAAGGACUUGUUAAUAUGUGGUCAUCCUCAAUUAAAGAAAUAUCAAAGUAUCAAAAGUUUGCAGAGUUUGUGAAUAGACUUAAAAACUGAAUAUGACGCUCAAGUCAGUUAUGUCUAUAAUUUGAAGUGAAGAUACUACAGCUAAAUAGGCAAAACAUUCUUUAAUCAGAAUGAGAGUUUCUCACAUGUGCAUUGUCACUUUAACCUUAUAAAUAUGCCAAUUUUAGGCGUCAUCUUUUAAAUGUAGACACCACAGAAAAUGCCACAACUUUUAUUUUUGCUUUAAUGUGAUUUAUUUGACAAAAUAUUCAAUAAAACACUUGCAAAUGUGCAUGCUUUUGCCCUUUAUUUAAGAUAAAAUAGCCUCUAAAAUGCCAAGGAAAUCAGGUUUCCAAACCGCUCUGACAACUGCUAGCAAAUCGCUUCAGAGACUAAAGCAAAAAUUUGAGUACUAUACUAAUUUUACAGUCUUCUAUAAUUGCUAUACACUGAAAACCCUGAUAAGUCGACUCUACUCAAUUGAUUGAGUAAACUUGUUCCCUCAAUUGAAUUGAGUAAUGGUGUCUCCAAAACGGUUGUAAUUCAGUUCACUUAACUUGGUGUUCAUAUAGAAUUAACUUAAAUAUUUAAGUUAAGGUAGCUAGUUGCGAGUAGACUCAACUCAGAUUAGCUUUUUUUUAAUGUUGUUGUUUCAACUUAAUAAUUUUAAUUGAAUUGACUCAAAUUUAGGUCAUACAAAAACAGCUUAAAUAAUGAAGAUUAUAACUGAUUCUAGGUUAAUCAUUAAAUAAACGUAUUUCUCCACAGAAAUGCAUAGACGCCUGUACUUCAGUUGCACAUGCACAAGGUGAACUGAUAUUUGUAGUGUUAACAGGGUCCAACCUGACCAAAGUAGACAUAGAUAACGCUAAUGGUGACAUCACACGAAACAACUGUUUGCAACAAAGCAACAUAAGCAAAUAACACUACAAAAGAGCUAAAACCUCUAUUAAUUUUUUAUAACAACUAUUUAAAUGCCCCCAUAUGUUCCCUUUGACCAUAAAGCGCAAGACUUUAUGGGUAUUCCCCAUAGCCUCAAUUUUUUAACUCAAUACUUUGAGCUGUUAACACUUAAAAUCUUAAGUCUAUAGAUUUAUUAAGAAAAACAAGCUCAAGGAACUUAGAUAUUUGAUUUAUGAGCCCCAAACUUUUUAAAAUUUUUCCCCUUUUUCUCCCAAUUUUGAAUGCCCAAUUCCCAAUGUGCUUUUAAGUCCUUGUGGUCACAUAGUGAUUCGCCUCGGUCCGGGUGGCAGAGGACGAAUCCCAGUUGCCUCCACGUCUGAGACCAUCAAUCUGCGCAUCUUAUCAUGUGGCUUGUUGAGCUCGUUGCCAAGAAGACAUAGCAUGUGUGGAGGCUUCACGCCAUCCACCACGGCAACCGUGCUCAGCUCACCACGCGCCCCACCGAGAACGCCCCACAUUAUAGCGACCACGAGGAGUUUACCCUAUGUGACUCUACCCUCCCUAGCAACUGGGCCAAUUUGGUUGCUUAGGAGACCUGGCUGGAGUCACUCGGCACGCCCUGGGAUUCGAACUAGCGAGCUAGUGAAAUCCAGAGGUGGUAGCCAGCGUCUUUCACCACUGAGCUACCCAGCCCCCCCACGAGCCCAAAACUUGACAAGACAACUUGAUUUUUCCAGUAAUGACAAGAUUCAUUCCAAAAUACCACCUAAAUAAAUGUCUCUUAGCAUGUUCUAAUGUGAAUUUGUAUGCAUUUACAAACAUCAUCAAUAACUACAUAGUUCUAUAGUGCUGUGUAUUUCUACAGUCUUAAAACCUUAAAAGGUGUUUGUGCGAUACUAAUUUCUCUGAUGCUCUGUACACUUCGACAUAGUUACGUUUUUUCUAUUCUAAAAUGAGACUCCAGUGGAAGGCAUUAUGUUUUGUCUCCCAGUCUUCCAUAGAUCUUUCCCACAGAUAAGCUAUGCUUUACAUAUUUCCUUCUCUUUGAUGUUGGUGGGCGUCCUGGUACCCAGCAUAGCUUUGAACAGUCCAGUAACUUCAUAAACCAUAGAAAGUAGCUUUAUAGGGUAUGAUUAGGUCUUGACAGACAGCAAACAUGUCUGUAAAUACAGCAUUUAAAGCCGUGCCAACAAAGUUACUAGCACAGACAUUAGUGCAGCCAUAAUGCAUGCUUGUUUAUUGUUCGGUGUGAUGUCUCCAUUCUUCACUAUCUACUCGUGCAUGUUAAUUUUUGCACUGUUUGCACAUCUUGUGUUGUUUCUGCCUUGCAAAAUACUGACAGAUUUCUUCUGCUGUGCAUUGCUCAAAUCUAUAGUAGUCAUAUCAUUGUGUUGUUUUGGGUUAAAAUAGAUGCAUCUACCAACUUUUUACCAACCUACAUUUUAUAGAUUCAGAAAGUCAUUGAAACCUAAUAUUUAGAUAUUUGCAAAUUCAAGAAUCAGUACAUUCAAGUAAUAUGCUCCUACUGUAGGAUUGAAAAGUUGUUGAAAUUGGGCUGGAAUGGACAAAUAUGACAUGCCUAGACGAUGCAUUGGUGCACGCCUAACAUAUACAGCAGAUGGAGUUUUAUGCCAUUGAGUGUAAUAGUAACCAUUUACUGGUAUUUGUUCAUGAUAUUUCUAGUUCUGCUCAAGUCAUGCUGUCAGUUGUUUUGAUGCUGAUCACUACUUUUAAUCUUGGGCUGAUCACUACUUUAAAUCUGCUCUCACUCCUUCUGUCCCACCCCUUCUCUUCUAUCGCUACCCUCAUUCGAUGGGACUUCACUGGGCUCUUCCAUUCACAUUAGGAGUUUGACGAGCUGGUUGAUGAUCGUAUGGCUCUGGUGACUGGCAUUAGUUUGGAUCCAGAGGCUGCUAUUAGUGUCUCAAAGAGGCUCCCACCCAAAUGGGUGGAGGGAGUGGAUGAGAUUCAGUAUGAAAUCACACGUAUCCGUCAGAAGAUGAAGGAACUAGCCAAUCUGCACGACAAACACAUGAACCGCCCCACACUGGACGACAGCAGUGAGGAGGAACAUGCUAUAGAGAUAACUACACAGGAAAUUACACAGAUGUUUCACAGGUGUCAGCGGGCCGUAACAGGGUUACAGACACAGAGUUAUCACUGUAUAGAGCAAGAAAAGAGACUAUUGACAAAUGUGGUCUCCUCAUUGGCCCAGAGCCUGCAAGAACUGUCAGUCAACUUCAGACACACACAGUCAAGCUACCUGAAACGCAUGAAAAACCGUGAAGAAAGAUCUAAGCACUUUUUUGACUCUGGUCCUCUCAUGGAGGAAGAUGAAGAUAUUGCAGUGUAUGACAGAGGAUUUACGGAUGACCAGCUUGUUCUAGUUCAGCAGAACACAGUGAUGGUAGAAGAACGGGAGAGAGAAAUUCGACAAAUUGUUCAGUCCAUUUCUGACCUUAAUGAGAUAUUUAGAGAUCUUGCUGGCAUGGUUGUUGAACAGUGCACCAGUCCCUCCUGCAGCAAAGCACCCCCACAACAUGAUGCUGCCACCCCCAUGCUUCACGGUUGGGAUGGUGUUCUUCGGCUUGCAAGCCUCACCCUUUUUCCUCCAAACAUAACGAUGGUCAUUAUAGCCAAACAGUUCAAUUUCAGACCUGAGGACAUUUCUCCAAAAAAUGAACGUGGUACCUUCAGACAUUUGGAAAUUGCUCCUGAGGAUGAACCAGACUUGUGGAGGUCCCUGGGCUGAUUUCUUUUGAAUUUAACAUGAUAUCAAGCAAAGAGGAACUGAGUUUGAAGGGCACAGUCCUGGACAGAAUUGACUUCAAUGUGGAGCAAGCAUGUGUCAAAACAGAGGAGGGGCUUCAGCAGUUGCAAAAGG